UUCUCCUUAGUUUUCGCAGCACUAGGGUUUAGGUAUAAAUACUAAAACUCUUCCGGAUUUCUGUGCUUCCUCCGUCGCAGUGUCACUAGGGUUUCAAAAGCGGCUAAGAAAGAGAGAGUGCGAGCUUCUGUGUGCCCUACGACAAUGAGAGCCAAGUGGAAGAAGAAGCGCAUGAGGAGAUUGAAGAGGAAGCGCCGAAAGAUGAGGCAGAGAUCCAAGUAGACGAUUGGCUUUCUUAGGGUUUAUUUCAUUGAUUGCCGUUUUUUGGUCCUGUGGGAAGGUUUUGUGACAUUUAAGGUUUCAAUUCGCUGUUCGUUGAGUUUUUUCUUGCAACUUAAUGAAAGAUGUUGGAUUUUGCGUUUCUGUUAACGGUUAGUUGAUCCAUCAAAUGGAAUUUUUAGCUUGGAUCUUAA